rnacentral:rRNA from 1 species
AUGAACUCCUCCCUUAUUAGCCUCUUGAUGUAUAUUAUGGGAUUCUAUAACUUGCAUGAAUCCCUUCAUCACGAGGUUACCAUACUACUCUCCAGAUUCUUCUGGGCUGGGGAGGGCGAUAAACAGAAAUACCACAUGGUUAAGUGGUCUGAGAUUUGCAAGACCAAGGAUCAGGGCGGCCUCGGGGUGAUUUCAUCUAAAAGGAUGAAUAUUUCCCUCCUCUCCAAAUGGUUGUUGCGCAUUCAGACCGGUGAUGGUGGACUUUGGCUGGAGUUUAUCCGCGCAAAGUACCUGCAUGGACAGCCUCUAGCGUUCGCCUCUAGAACUGGAGGCUCCCAAUUUUGGCAAUUGGUUAUCCAGCUCAUGGCGAUUCUAUGUAUUGGGACUUCCAUUAAGGUGGGCACUGGUACCGGUACCUUAUUCUAGCUGGAUAGAUGGUCCGGAACUAGAUCCUUUGCGGAGCGGUUUUUCGCAUUAUUCUCUAUUUGCGCCCGCCCACAACUUACUGUGGGCGUGGCAUUAGAUGACCUAGACGUUAUCAAUAUACACUCUUCAAGCCCUCUAAGGCCAUCAACCAUUUUGGCCGUCGGAUUUGUAUGUUAA